ensembl:lncRNA
CUCUACUCCACAUGUGCAGUGUAAAGCAGCUAUCUUGUGUCGAGGAGGAAGGAGACCUCUCUACCAAGCACAGGAAAACAGACGUGAAGCUAUUGGAGGUCAAGGGCAAGGGCUACUGAGAUGGAAAAACCUGCAGAUCUGGGAAAGAUCUUUCUCAGCAUCAGGAAAUACUGUUUUGUGCUCUUCCUUAAACUUCAACUACAAAGGAGGUACUCUUGUCACUCAGGCCUCAUUAGCCAAUUAGAACCUGUAGUCGGAGCAUCAGUUAUAAGAGAGGAGGGCUCUUCCCGGCGCCAGGCUCCAGGCCCCAGGCUCCGUCCUGAAGCUGGGGAAGUAAGUGCCAGUGGUUCUUUGCACGUUCCAGGAGCUGUGAAGGGUGCGUGCGAGCUUGGAAGCCACAGUAUGGAAUGGAAAUGGAGAGGAGUCUGAGGAAAAGAAGGUCAAGCAACAGGCCCAAAGUGAGAUCCAGCUCAAGGGGAGGCCCCAAGACCUGAAACCAUUACUGAAAUUAUGGAGCAUUCACAAAAAGGAUGUAUCAUGGCUGCUCUUCAAAAGACCCAAGAGGCAGCUGAAAGAGUCAGAUGCAGUUAUGUGCACCCAACCAGUGAACAGAAGCUGCUGACUCCUCUGGUUGAAUUGGAGAAAAGCUAGAGGAAGCGAAGGAGAUUCCAUCCUUUAACAUCAAGACAGGAGCAUGGCAGCAUCCAGGCAGACAUGGUGCAGGAGGAGCUGAGAGUUCUACAUCUUCAUAUGAAGGCUGCUAAUUGAAGGCUGAAUUCCAUGCAGCCUGUACCAACAGUGACACACCUACUCCAACAAGGCUAAACUAACUCCAAGAGUGCCAUACCUUCUAAGAAUGCUACAUCCUGGACUGAAUAUAUAGAUAAGAUCUAUGAAGCUAAGAAAUGCAUGCUGACAGGAAUCAGAUAAAGAUGUCUCCUGAGAGACACAGUUAGAGCAUGUGAAAUAGAGAGGUGAAUGCUAGCAGCAAACCACUAAACUGAGAACGGGACUCCUGUUGGAGGAAUUAGAGAAAGGAUUGAAAGAGCUGAAGGGGCUUACAACCCCGUAAGAGCAGCAUUCCAACCAACCAGAGCUUGCAGGGACGAAACCACGACCCAAAUACUACACAUGGAUGGACCCAUGGCUCCAACUCAUAGGGAGCAGUGGAUGGCCUUGUUGGGCAGCAAUGGAAGGAGAAGCCCUUUGUCAAUAUAAGUAAAAUUUUUAAGAGAUAAGUGACAUCAUGAACAGCAGAGGACAAGGGUAGAAAUGACAAUUUAUGGAGUCCGGUCUUCGCAUGCUGUGAAAUUGUAAAGGAAAGGCAGCAGAGUAUUGUGAGAAAAACAGUCCAAGGAGAGUAAUGGACACAGAUGUGUAACCCUGUAGCUAUCUGCCCAGGGUUUCAACAGAGGUCAAUGUGUUGCAUUGUUGAGAUGGCAGCUCUGUCCCCCUUUGCACAAAAUCGGAUACCACUUAGGCUCAUGUCACUCCUUCCUCAGGACUUAGCCCUUCCAUUAGGUUAGUUGUCAGUGUCCACAGACUGCACUAAGCCAACCUUAUCAAUCAGGCCACUGUUCAGUAUUCAUUUUAAUCUCUCAGAGACUCCUCAGUCCACUCCUUUGUAGCUUCCCAUCACACAUGUGCCUUCUUGCCUUUAGCUGUUUGUAUGUAGUGCUUCCAGGUUUCUGGUUUGUGUUGUCUUAACUGUUCCCCUCCAGCAUAGAGCCCAGAGUCUGACAAACACUGACCUCUAACUCCCUCCUUCAGUUAAAUCUGUUCCCAAUAUAUACUACAUGCACUUAAUAUGUGAAGGGAAUGUACAUUGCCUGUCCCUCUGAUUUGUGAGGGUAUAUCAUAAAGUUGCUAAAUAGUACACCUUGAUGUACUGUAUUGCUUGUCCUAGGGACUUAGCAUAUGAGUUUUGAAUUAAACUGCUUGCCUAUUAAUUGUAAGAGUUUCCCAUUAAAAUAUUCGAAGUGAAAGUCAUGCAUUUUAAAAUUUUUAUUACAUCAGUACCAUUUUUAGUGCAUUUUUAAGUGAAAUCCAUCUUUAACCCUACUCUGAAAUACUGCUCAUAUUACCAAGUCAUGUGUUAUUAGUUGGCAAAGAGAAAAGAUAUUUGAAUGUGGCUUCUCUGAACUUUCUUUCUUUCUUUCUUUCUUUCUUUCUUUCUUUCUUUCUUUCUUUCUUUCUUUCUUUCUUCCUUCCUUCCUUCCUUCCUUCCUUCUUUCUUUCUUUCUUUCUUUCUUUCUUUCUUUCUUUCUUUCUUUCUUUCUUUCUUUCUUUCUUUCUUUCUUCCUUUUCCUUUGUAAAACUUUUAUCCUGCUCCCUCCAGAAGUGGCCAUUAAUGGGGGCUUUAUGAGCCACUCCAAAUACCUGAUAGAAAGUCUAUG